rnacentral:rRNA from 1 species
AUGGUGGCUUGUGGGAGGAUGUUUCUCAGACCUAAGUUGUUGCCGCUGGACCGUGGCUACAUUCAUCAUAGCUUGGAGGAAAUGGUGCGGGAAGAUAUGCAUGUGCAGGGCGAAGAAGUGGACGAAGGCCAAAGUAGCAAUCUCUGCCUCCCUAUCGCUGCGUCCUGCUCCUCAAUAUGUCACCUUAGUCAUGGCCGCCUUAUCCCUCAUGCUGCUGAUUUGAAUCUGCCCUACUCUUCUUCUCCUAGACUGCUCGAGCGCUUCAGCGGGUGCCUUGCCGACGACAGGGAAGGAAGGACCAGAAAGCCACGAAAUUGA